rnacentral:rRNA from 1 species
UACGUAGGUGGCAAGCGUUGUCCGGAAUUAUUGGGCGUAAAGCGCGCGCAGGCGGUUCUUUAAGUCUGAUGUGAAAGCCCACGGCUCAACUGUGGAGGGUCAUUGGAAACUGGGGAACUUGAGUACAGAAGAGGAAAGCGGAAUUCCACGUGUAGCGGUGAAAUGCGUAGAGAUGUGGAGGAACACCAGUGGCGAAGGCGGCUUUCUGGUCUGUAACUGACGCUGAGGCGCGAAAGCGUGGGGAGCAAACAGG